CGCCCAAUCCCCCCGCCCGCACCACUCCCUCCCUGCCCCACGCCCAAUCCCCUCGCCCGCACCGCUCCCUCCCUCCUCGAUCUCUCUCCCUGGCCAGCCGCCAUUGGUGGGAAACCCUAGCCCAUUAUCCCAAUCAACACAGUCGCAGCUCUUCUCCCUCUUUCUCCCUUCUCCCCCCUCCUCCCCUCACCACAGCCGCAACCUAGGGGCUCCGCCGUCCGUUUCGAUGAGAUCCACCAACUCACGAGGUUCUCAUCUGCCCCAGGUUGCGAGGAAGCCGCGGGAGGAGGAGUGACCUUGGUGCGAGAUAGGUACGGAGGAGGAGCUCAACCAGCGCGUCUUCGGCCGGAGGAGGGAAGCAGCGGAUGCGAGCCAGGAGGUGGAUCGGCUCGGCCCAGCUAUGGAGGCGGCCGGGGCGGGCGCGGAGAGGGCCGAUGCGGCGGCGGCCAAGGCCAGGGAGGACGAGGUUGCAUCCAUCAGCGAGAAGCGGCCGAUCCACCUGCGUGCCGUCACUGCAGGGAUAGCGUCGCCGUCUCCCUCUCCCCUGGUGGCACCUCCCUAUAUGUUGAGGUUGGUCCUGGAAUGGUUGGCUUUGAGACUUUUGGUGGCAGUAUAUUCUUAUGCCGACGAGAAGCAUUUGCAGGACGAUUAUGUGGUUAUCUGUGGCAGUGUGCUCCUAUCCUCCCCGCCUCCAUACUUCAUUUUUGGAAAACUAAUGAUUUUAAUUCCUGGAUGUCAUAGAUGUUGAGGUUGGUCCUGGAAUGGUUGGCUUUGGGACUUUUGGUGGCAGUAUAUUCUUAUGCCGACGACAAGCAUUUGUAGGACGAUUAUGUGGUUAUCUGUGGCAGUGUGCUCCUAUCCUCCCCGCCUCCAUACUUCAUUUUUGGAAAACUAAUGAUUUUAAUUCCUGGAUGUCAUAGGUACCAUUGAUUGUGCCUCAGCUUCGUAGCCGAUCUUCGAUCGUCCAUGGCAUCAACACACAAAUUGAUAAUGCAAACCUCAGCCACAGCUCCAAGAAUACGCGGAGGAGGUGGCCCGGGUCGGCGUCGGCGCCGUCCGGCACGGGCCACGGGCCCGCUUCCAAGCGCGUCUGCGCGUCGGCCACCCACGUCGUGUCCUUCAAGUGCCACUUCCACCGCAAACUCCCAGGGUCACGGCCAUGGCCAGGGCCAGGGAAGCCGCCCUUCUUCGCCUCCUUCACCAGCCGCAGCCAACGCGGUGCCGCGGCACCCGGCCUCGCCGUCCUCGUCCUCCAGCACCGUCGCGACCCAGUGACGCAGCCCAAGCAUCGGCCUCGAGAAUCAAGAACGCUCGACAACGUAGAGGGAAGGAAAGGUCAUAUACAUGUCAUAAGAAAGGGAGUUUAUUUACCGCUCCCUCGAUGUAUUGUUUCCUUUGUUUGGAGAUUGAUUACCAUCCGUGAGUUAAGGUAAGGUUUACGUGAUUGAGCGAUUUUUUGAAAAUGAAUUAUUUGUUUUCUAAUUAAUGUAAUUGAGUGAAUUAAGGUAAGGUUAAUUAAUUUAGAUUUGAUCUUUAGAGAUUGUUCGUGAUUGAUUCUACAUUACUAAAUAACUUGCGCCAGUAUGGAAAGUUCUGAUCUGUUUAGAUUUCUUUCGUUGUGUGAGAGGGUGACGUGAAAAUAAACCGAUGAAGUGAGGGAAGGGGACGAAAAAAUCUACGGAAAAAACCAGCGAAGGUGGGAGGAGGUACCAAAAAAAACCAUGAAAGGUGGGAGGAGACUACCAACUGUUUCAUUAGGAGUAGAAAUUAUUAGAGAUUAGAGAUUAUUUGUUUCCUGAAAAUCUAUUAUUUGUUUCCUAAAAUAAAUUGCAUUAAUGAGAGAGAUUUCGUAGAUUUGGCUAAGGUAGGAAAGAAUCUAUUAUUUGUUUGCU